rnacentral:rRNA from 1 species
CCUACGGGGGGCUGCAGUGGGGAAUAUUGCACAAUGGGCACAAGCCUGAUGCAGCCAUGCCGCGUGUGUGAAGAAGGCCUUCGGGUUGUAAAGCACUUUCAGCGGGGAGGAAGGCGUUAAGGUUAAUAACCUUGUCGAUUGACGUUACCCGCAGAAGAAGCACCGGCUAACUCCGUGCCAGCAGCCGCGGUAAUACGGAGGGCGCAAGCGUUAAUCGGAAUUACUGGGCGUAAAGCGCACGCAGGCGGUCUGUCAAGUCGGAUGUGAAAUCCCCGGGCUCAACCUGGGAACUGCAUUCGAAACUGGCAGGCUAGAGUCUUGUAGAGGGGGGUAGUAUUCCAGGUGUAGCGGUGAAAUGCGUAGAGAUCUGGAGGAAUACCGGUGGCGAAGGCGGCCCCCUGGACAAAGACUGACGCUCAGGUGCGAAAGCGUGGGGAGCAAACAGGAUUAGAUACCCUUGUAGUC